ACUUCCUCAUAUGUUGUAAAGAAUCUUGAUAUCCCUUCUCCGUCACCUCUCUUUCAUCAUCAUCAAUUUUGAACUUGGAAUAGGAUUUAUAAGAAGACCACAGGUUUAAUCUGAGCACUUCAAUUAAAGAAGUUAUGUAGAAAAGUCUGAGACCUGAAGAACAACUGCCAGUCAGGAGCUCCUAGAAUUUAUUGGACUAGAUCAGCAUUUCCCAACACAACCAUUUUCUUGUUCUUUGGCCAUUCUGCUUGGGGAAUCCUGAGAGUUGGAGCUCUUACAUCUGGCUGUUGCAUAGUUUACAAAAGAUGAGAUUAGCUGGACCAGUGAUGUGGCUCUGCCUAUAAAAUAGAAAUGCAGUAGCUGUCAGGUUCGGUCAGCACG